UUUGACCUCAAAUCACGU
rnacentral:rRNA from 1 species